GAUGAACGCUCGCGGGAGGCCUAACACAUGCAAGCCGAGCGGUAGAGUCUCUUCGGAGACUUGAGAGCGGCGCACGGGUGCGGAACACGUGUGCAACCUGCCUUUAUCUGGGGGAUAGCCUUUCGAAAGGAAGAUUAAUACCCCAUAAUAUACUGGAUGGCAUCAUCUGGUAUUGAAAACUCCGGUGGAUAGAGAUGGGCACGCGCAAGAUUAGAUAGUUGGUGAGGUAACGGCUCACCAAGUCAGCGAUCUUUAGGGGGCCUGAGAGGGUGAUCCCCCACACUGGUACUGAGACACGGACCAGACUCCUACGGGAGGCAGCAGUGAGGAAUAUUGGACAAUGGGUGAGAGCCUGAUCCAGCCAUCCCGCGUGAAGGACGACGGCCCUAUGGGUUGUAAACUUCUUUUGUAUAGGGAUAAACCUAGAUACGUGUAUCUAGCUGAAGGUACUAUACGAAUAAGCACCGGCUAACUCCGUG
rnacentral:rRNA from 1 species